AGGUCAAUGUGUCGAAGUCCGUCUGGGAGGUAAGUCCGUCUAUCGGUAGUAACUUCCAUAUUUGAACCACUAGUUACAUAAUAU